GAUGAACGCUAGCGGCAGGCCUAACACAUGCAAGUCGAGGGGUAUAGUUCUUCGGAACUAGAGACCGGCGCACGGGUGCGUAACGCGUAUGCAAUCUACCUUUUACAGGGGAAUAGCCCAGAGAAAUUUGGAUUAAUGCCCCAUAGUAUAUAUCAUUCGCAUGUUUGAUAUAUUAAAGUUCCAACGGUAAAAGAUGAGCAUGCGUCCCAUUAGUUAGUUGGUAAGGUAACGGCUUACCAAGACUAUGAUGGGUAGGGGUCCUGAGAGGGAGAUCCCCCACACUGGUACUGAGACACGGACCAGACUCCUACGGGAGGCAGCAGUGAGGAAUAUUGGACAAUGGGCGCAAGCCUGAUCCAGCCAUGCCGCGUGCAGGAAGAAGCAUCUAUGGUGUGUAAACUGCUUUUGUACAGGAAGAAACACUCCCUCGUGAGGGAGCUUGACGGUACUGUAAGAAUAAGGAUCGGCUAACUCCGUGCCAGCAGCCGCGGUAAUACGGAGGAUCCAAGCGUUAUCCGGAAUCAUUGGGUUUAAAGGGUCCGUAGGCGGUUUGAUAAGUCAGUGGUGAAAGCCCAUCGCUCAACGAUGGAACGGCCAUUGAUACUGUCAGACUUGAAUUACUAGGAAGUAACUAGAAUAUGUAGUGUAGCGGUGAAAUGCUUAGAUAUUACAUGGAAUACCAAUUGCGAAGGCAGGUUACUACUAGUGGAUUGACGCUGAUGGACGAAAGCGUGGGGAGCGAACAGGAUUAGAUACCCUGGUAGUCCACGCCGUAAACGAUGGAUACUAGCUGUUGGGUGCAAACUCAGUGGCUAAGCGAAAGUGAUAAGUAUCCCACCUGGGGAGUACGUUCGCAAGAAUG
rnacentral:rRNA from 1 species